rnacentral:rRNA from 1 species
GACGAACGCUGGCGGCGUGCCUAAUACAUGCAAGUAGAACGCUGAAGGAGGAGCUUGCUUCUCUGGAUGAGUUGCGAACGGGUGAGUAACGCGUAGGUAACCUGCCUGGUAGCGGGGGAUAACUAUUGGAAACGAUAGCUAAUACCGCAUAACAGUAGAUAUCGCGUGAUAGCUGCUUGAAAGGUGCAAUUGCACCACUACCAGAUGGACCUGCGUUGUAUUAGCUAGUUGGUGAGGUAACGGCUCACCAAGGCGACGAUACAUAGCCGACCUGAGAGGGUGAUCGGCCACACUGGGACUGAGACACGGCCCAGACUCCUACGGGAGGCAGCAGUAGGGAAUCUUCGGCAAUGGACGGAAGUCUGACCGAGCAACGCCGCGUGAGUGAAGAAGGUUUUCGGAUCGUAAAGCUCUGUUGUAAGAGAAGAACGAGUGUGAGAGUGGAAAGUUCACACUGUGACGGUAUCUUACCAGAAAGGGACGGCUAACUACGUGCCAGCAGCCGCGGUAAUACGUAGGUCCCGAGCGUUGUCCGGAUUUAUUGGGCGUAAAGCGAGCGCAGGCGGUUAGAUAAGUCUGAAGUUAAAGGCUGUGGCUUAACCAUAAUACGCUUUGGAAACUGUUUAACUUGAGUGCAAGAGGGGAGAGUGGAAUUCCAUGUGUAGCGGUGAAAUGCGUAGAUAUAUGGAGGAACACCGGUGGCGAAAGCGGCUCUCUGGCUUGUAACUGACGCUGAGGCUCGAAAGCGUGGGGAGCAAACAGG